UAGUCGCGGGGAUCCCACAAUAAGGCACAGGUUCGCGUAGAACGCCGCUCGCUGUGCUGGAGGUAACCCAGACCCAGAUUGGUGUGCCUGGUUCUCCCAGCUACCUUUGUUCCUUUUAUUCUUCCUUUCUCUAUUCGUUCCGAGCGCGGUUUUGUUAGCCUUUCUUCCGCGGAAAAAAAAAGCAAACGCAGUAAUUGUUGGGAUCCCCCCCAUCUUAUUUUAAAUUAUUAUACAAAAUUAGAUCCUUUU
rnacentral:telomerase_RNA from 1 species